rnacentral:rRNA from 1 species
GUCGCCUACGGGGGGCAGCAGUGGGGAAUAUUGCACAAUGGGGGAAACCCUGAUGCAGCAACGCCGCGUGAGUGAAGAAGUAUUUCGGUAUGUAAAGCUCUAUCAGCAGGGAAGAAGAAAGACGGUACCUGACUAAGAAGCCCCGGCUAACUACGUGCCAGCAGCCGCGGUAAUACGUAGGUGGCAAGCGUUGUCCGGAUUUACUGGGUGUAAAGGGCGUGUAGCCGGGCCGACAAGUCAGAUGUGAAAUCCGUGGGCUUAACCCGCGAACUGCAUUUGAAACUAUUGGUCUUGAGUACCGGAGA